GGCUGAACUCUGGCCUCCCCUGCCGCCCACCCUCCCCUCCCCGGAAUUGGUCAUGAGCAUGACCUUACUAUGUCUCCAGUGGUCUGAAAGAAUCCUGUAGUCUUGCCUCAGGACUUCUCCCCAUCCAGGGAAACAGCAAGGAGUAUCCAGAAGUGACCUGAGUACAGGAUUCGUGGCUGUCCUUACCAUAUCCUGCCUGGAGAUAUGGGCAGUGAUACCAGUGGAAGGAAGGAAGACAUCCGUGUAGCACUAUGGAAGACAUCGUGGGAUGAGAGGUGGUAAAUGCUGGAAGAUGGAAGAUAUAGGGAAGGAAGGCUGAAGAUAGUGAAGAUGGAAGAUUCUGGAAGACAGAGGUGGAAGAUCAUGUGGAAGAUGCUGGAAGAUGUCAAUGUGGAAGGAAAGGACAACCCAUGUGGCACUGUGGAAGAUGCUGAAGUCCCAGUACAGCAAGGUUUCUGUAUGUGCACUUUACUUCUCUCUCCCAUCCUUCCCCUCUAGCCUCCAUCAGGCACAAGCCAUAUGUAGCUUUAAGGUGGGAAUGGUCUUUCUUGUUGUCCAUAUUUUCAUUUAAAACACAAUGGGGAUGUUAUAUUGCUUGGCUGAAUUCUAAACUCAUAAGUUUCCUAAUUUGGCAGUGCCUUCCCACUCCUAUGAAAAUGGCAACUCUAUGUUUGCAUGUGUGUCUGUUUAAUAACCCUAAUGUAAUUUCACUUUCAUAAUGAGUUGAGGGGAAAAAAUGUCUAUUGUAGCCAUAAAAAUAGAAAUCAACAUAGUA